UCAAGCGUUGGAGCCCUAACCCUCAGUAUCUUAACAUGUGACCUUUUUCAGAUACAGUGUCUUUUCAGAGGUAAUCAAGUUAAAAUGAGGUCCUUAGAGUGAAUCCUAAAUGUAUGUGCUGGUGCCCUUAUAAAAAAGGAGAAAGGUGGACCUAGACACAGAGGGAGAACAUCAUGUGAAGACAAUGGCAGAGAUUGAGGUGAUGCUUCUACAAGGCAACAAAUGCCAAAGAUUGCCCGCAAACCCCCAGAAGUGAGGGCAGAGGCAAGAAACAGGUUCUCCUUCUCAGCUUCAGAAGGAACCAACCCUGCUGACAUCUUGAUCUCAGACCUCUGAUGAAGUCUGUGGUACCAAUGUCCCCAUUUUGUAUAUUUGAAAACUGAGGCUCAGAGAGGUUUGGAUGACGUUAGUAAAUGGUAGAGCUGGAUUUCAGUGCAGGCCAGCCUGGUGCCAAGGCCUGUGCUCCUGAUCAGCACGUAAAGCUCGUCCCCUCUCCCUCCAAGGUCACUGAGCCCCACCAGGGUCCAGGCACUAAAGAUACUGAGAGAAGCAAAAUACAGCUCCUGUCUUCACUGAGCUGCUGGUUAAAAGGAAAACAGCCUCUGAGACCAGUGGCCACCAUGUGAAGACUUCUGGCCUCCAGAACUUCGAGAGAAUACAUUUCUGUUAUUGAAGCAACUCAGUUUGUGGUACUUUAUUAUGGCAACCCUAGCAGAUUCAGACAGCAGAUCCAUCCUUAGCCCAGGCCCAAGAUGCAGGCAUUUUCACUCCCAUGGGACCCACGAGAAGAGUGGAGUGGUUCCACAUCAGGAGAAUGGGACGCUUUGCGGUGUGAGCCGGGGGAGGCCCUUUUGCUUCCCUCUAUGGAGCUCAAUUUUUUCAGCAGAAAAUGAAGUGGACAGGAUGAUCCCUGAAUUCUGGCUUGAACAAAAGCUCCCGCGUGGCGCUGAAGGUGGAGGUGGUUCGGCUCAAGGAAUCUACCCUGUGAGCAUGAGGAGUUGAGACAAGCCUGGGCUAGGAGAAGGACACCAGCCCAUGACCCAGGCUAAGCUCUGUCAUGGGCAGGAUGUAUAACCACCACAAGUCAUUUCACUGCUAUAAAAUAGAGAUAAUAAUCCCUCUCCUGUUCACUUAUGGGCUUACUGUGAACAUCAAAUGAAAUAACAAGCACAGAAGUGUUUAAAUUGUAAGGUAUGGUGUCAAGUUGAAUCAUCUUCUGGUUCUUGAACCACAGGGACCAUUUAACCCAAUUUCCUCAUAUUCCAGAAGAGGAAACAGAAGUUCAGAGUGGCUGUGACUCG
rnacentral:lncRNA from 1 species